rnacentral:rRNA from 1 species
UGCAGUCGAGCGGUAACAGCGCAAGAAGCUUGCUUCUUUGCUGACGAGUGGCGGACGGGUGAGUAAUGUCUGGGAAACUGCCUGAUGGAGGGGGAUAACUACUGGAAACGGUAGCUAAUACCGCAUAACGUCGCAAGACCAAAGAGGGGGACCUUCGGGCCUCUUGCCAUCGGAUGUGCCCAGAUGGGAUUAGCUAGUAGGUGGGGUAACGGCUCACCUAGGCGACGAUCCCUAGCUGGUCUGAGAGGAUGACCAGCCACACUGGAACUGAGACACGGUCCAGACUCCUACGGGAGGCAGCAGUGGGGAAUAUUGCACAAUGGGCGCAAGCCUGAUGCAGCCAUGCCGCGUGUAUGAAGAAGGCCUUCGGGUUGUAAAGUACUUUCAGCGGGGAGGAAGGGAGUAAAGUUAAUACCUUUGCUCAUUGACGUUACCCGCAGAAGAAGCACCGGCUAACUCCGUGCCAGCAGCCGCGGUAAUACGGAGGGUGCAAGCGUUAAUCGGAAUUACUGGGCGUAAAGCGCACGCAGGCGGUUUGUUAAGUCAGAUGUGAAAUCCCCGGGCUCAACCUGGGAACUGCAUCUGAUACUGGCAAGCUUGAGUCUCGUAGAGGGGGGUAGAAUUCCAGGUGUAGCGGUGAAAUGCGUAGAGAUCUGGAGGAAUACCGGUGGCGAAGGCGGCCCUCUGGACAAAGACUGACGCUCAGGUGCGAAAGCGUGGAGAGCACACAGGAUUAGAUACCCUGGUAGUCCACGCCGUACACGAUGUCGACUUGGAGGUUGUGCUCUUGAAGCGUGGCUUCCGGAGCUAACGCGUUAAGUCGACCGCCUGGAGAGUACGGCCGCAAGGUUAAAACUCAUAUGAAUUGACGGGGGCCCGCACAAGCGGUGGAGCAUGUGGUUUAAUUCGAUGCAACGCGAAGAACCUUACCUGCUCUUGACAUCCACAGAAUUUUUCAGAGAUGAUAGUGUGCCUUCGGGAACUGUGAGACAGGUGCUGCAUGGCUGUCGUCA